UAGGGAAUCUUGCACAAUGGGCGAAAGCCUGAUGCAGCAACGCCGCGUGAAGGAUGAAGGCCUUCGGGUUGUAAACUUCUGUUCUAAGGGAAGAAAGAAAUGACGGUACCUUAGGAGCAAGCCCCGGCUAACUACGUGCCAGCAGCCGCGGUAAUACGUAGGGGGCAAGCGUUAUCCGGAAUUAUUGGGCGUAAAGAGUGCGUAGGUGGUUACCUAAGCGCAAGGUUUAAAUUAGAGGCUCAACCUCUACAUGCCUUGCGAACUGGGCUACUUGAGUGCAGGAGGGGAAAGCGGAAUUCCUAGUGUAGCGGUGAAAUGCGUAGAUAUUAGGAGGAACACCGGCGGCGAAGGCGGCUUUCUGGACUGUAACUGACACUGAGGCACGAAAGCGUGGGUAGCAAACAGGAUUAGAUACCCUGGUAGUCCACGCCGUAAACGAUGAGCACUAGGUGUUGGGUCCGUUAGGACUCGGUGCCGCAGUUAACGCAAUAAGUGCUCCGCCUGGGGGGUACGCUCGCAAGAGU
rnacentral:rRNA from 1 species